GACGAACGCUGGCGGCGUGCUUAACACAUGCAAGUCGAGCGGUAAGGCCCUUUCGGGGGUACGACGAGCGGCGAACGGGUGAGUAACACGUGGGUGACCUGCCCUCAGCUCUGGGAUAAGCCUGGGAAACCGGGUCUAAUACUGGAUAUGACUCCAUGACGCAUGUUGUGGGGUGGAAAGCCUUGUGCGGCUGAGGAUGGGCCCGCGGCCUAUCAGCUUGUUGGUGGGGUGAUGGCCUACCAAGGCGACGACGGGUAGCCGGCCUGAGAGGGCGACCGGCCACACUGGGACUGAGACACGGCCCAGACUCCUACGGGAGGCAGCAGUGGGGAAUCUUGCGCAAUGGGCGAAAGCCUGACGCAGCGACGCCGCGUGAGGGAUGACGGCCUCGGUGUAAC
rnacentral:rRNA from 1 species